rnacentral:pre_miRNA from 1 species
UACGUACUCCCUUUGUCCCAUAUUAAGUGACUUUAUAUUACAUGUAUGUAGAUAUUUUUUAGCCAUAGAUACAUCCAUAUUUAGGGACAUUUGAGUCACUAAAUAUGGGACGGAGGAAGUACAUG